AUGGCGGUGGGGAGGGUUGUCAAGCGGGUAUAGACGUGUGGGUGGAGGUAGGGAGGGAGACCUGGCCGGGGGCUCGGAGAUGCUCAGGGAGGCCUAGCCUGGGCCCUGACACAGCCCUGGGGCCAAGAUCCAGGCACGGAAAUGCCACCCCACAGGGGAAGCCAGAGGGUGGGAGGAGAAGAAGAGGCAGGGGGUCAGGAAAGACCCCCAGGUGAUGUCCUCUCCAGCCAUGCUGUCCUCUUUUUCCACCCAAUUGGAAGGUCCAGGGGGACAGGGUGGGUCCACCUUACCCACCAUCAUAUCCUGUAAUCAAGCACAAGAACUAGUGUACAAUAGGCAGAGACAAGUGUCUGUUGAAUGAAUAAACGUCCGCGCAUCUGACACAGCUCGUACGGCAGGGCGGUCCCUGAAGCGUGGGGAAGGUGAGCCGGUUGGCGCUGCCUCGGGGCUGCCCGUCACGGCCCCUGCAGGCGAGGGGGGCUCGACACCGUCCCAGGGCUCCAUGGAGACAGAGGGGGACAGAUGUUUACGGACGAGGCCCCCCACCUCACACAGCAGGGAGCUCGGCCAGCCCCCACCCCGGGAGCCUCUGCCUUGGUGGGGCCCCACCUCCGUUUCCCAUGGGCGCUUCCCCCCUUUAUUUUGAGGGAGGUCAGCUUUUAUCUUGCCAUCAAAGAGACUCACUGGCAGCUCUGUGUCAACGGAGAUACGUGCCCGCCUCUUAGCUCCAUCCCACCGCUGGGGUCAGCCUGGAUUUAAAAAAUAAAAAAGCCAGCGCCAUGUGGCUGAUGUGAUAGCUGGCUCGGUGUGCAACGGAAAAAGUCAGAAAUAAACACGGCGAGCUGGGCCAUCCGCACCGUCCACAGCACAGAGCCUGGGGGCACCGGGUGGAGUGGGCUCCAUGGGGCGAGUGCUGGAAAUGGCGUCUGUCGGGAUGGGGGAGGAGCAGUGAGCCCUGCGCCUUGGCACCAGCGGGAGGCAGCCGGAGAAGGUGGCGGAGGCGGGCGGCGUGUCACACGCGUGAAAGAGCCAGGAGAGCAGCCCCUUCUCCCCCCGGGCCUCGCCCCUUCGUUCCCCGAAUCUGCGAAUUGGCGUCUCUGGGGACCAUCCUUGAGUGACAUAAAAGUAGCCAUUUUAAAGUGUGUAGUUCCGUGGCAUUUGGAACAUUCGCAGUUUGUGCAAAUGCCACUUCUGUCUCGUUCCAAAGCCUUUCAUCACCCCCAAGGGACGCCCACGGCAGUCACUCCUCUCCCCUCCUUGCUCCCACCCCCUGCAACCAGAACACCCGACCUGCCUUCGGUCUCCAUGGAUUUGCUAUUUGGGACAUUUCACACUAAUGGAAUCGGACAAUAGGUGGUCUUCUGCGUCUGGUUUCUUUCACGUAGUGCGUUUUCAAGCUUCAUCCCCGUGGAGCAUGUAUCGGUAUCCUGCUCCUUCGCGAGGCUGGAUGCCAUUUCCUGCAGGGAUCGCGCACAUCUCUUCUCCCCGUUUGCCAGUUGACGGACACGUGGGUUGUGAGUGCUGCUGACGGGGACGUUCAGGAACGUGGAUCUGUUUGAGUCCCUUUUCUCAGUUCUUUCCGGUACCCGCCUGGGAGUGGAAUUGCUGGGUCAUAUGGUGAUUCUGUCACUUUUUGAGGAAACGUUGAUGAAUAUGCUUUUUCAAGUCAGUUUUGAAUGAACGCCUCUUCCCAGCCUUGUUACUCAACCUCAUCCUAAACAAUACAAUUAUUUGCGUUGGUUUCAUAAUUUUUGCUCACAACAUUAUUAUAAGUCCUGAACAACCAAAACAUGUUCACGUUUCACCCACGCACACUGCAAACCACUUCAGGCUCUGCCGGCCUGUGCUCCCUGCUCUGGGAGCCUCUGCCUCCAACCCUCCUCGCCUGAGCAACGUGCCACGUUGGCUUUGCGGCCACAGCCGAGGGCCAAGCAGCUGUGCCCACGACACGCACGUCUGGAGUGGAGUCGCCCCCUCUGCCUCCUCGAGGAAAUAUCCCUGGAUAUAGUCUCCGACCAUCUGCAAUAUGGUCUCCCUGGAAUGUUUUGAGCAUUUUACUGUUAUACGAAAUUCCCAGAAAAGGGCCCAAGCUACACCUCCCAGCCCUCUCUGUCCCCCCAGCACCUGUUUAUUGCACGUGGCUGUAACGUGUGAUCCCUGAAGAGGGGGAUUUGCAUCUGUCCCCGCGGUGCUUACAACAGUGCCUGGCCCACUGCAGGCCUGCAGUAAAUGCCAGCUGAAUAACUACGGAUGUGUGCAAGAAUGAAAUGUGAUCUCUCCCUCCAGUCUUGUUCCUUUUUAACCUUCCUUCCCCACUGGAGCCAAAGUCAUCCUUCUAACAGGCAACGUGAUCUUGUCGCCCCUGCUCAAAAUGCGUUAGUGACUCUCAAGGUUGUCACGAUGACGUGCAAGCCCUCGGGAGGACAAAGCCCCAGCUCCCUUCUCCUCUAAGCUGCAUCUGCACGCUCCACUCCCCCAUACACUGGAACUUUCUGCAUUUUUCCAGAUAUGCAAAGCUCGCCUCUUGGCAUUGCCUCCUGCUGCUCCCCCUGCCUGGAAAGCUCAUUUUCUCCUUUGUCACCUGGUCAACAACUUCAACCUGCCAGCUCCUUCCUGGACCAUCUCCACCCACCAGCCUUCCCCUGCAGCCCCAGGCGCCGUGUGGUUGCCACUCUGUACCAGUCAGCACAGGCGAGGUUAUGCUGCAGUAACAAAUUAGCCCUGAAAUCUCAGGGACUUAAGGUUCAAACAAAGAUUUUUUUCUCACUCAUGCCACAUGUUCAAAAAAGUUGAGCAGGGACCCCAUCUUACAUCAUGAGUUAGGGACCCAGGCCGACCGAGGCUCCACUCCUAGUCACUGUGAGGACAGAGAGAGUACAGAGAACUCACUCCUGCCCUUUAGCUGCCUCUGGCUAGAAGGGGCACAUGUCACUUUGGCCAUGGACCACUGGCCACAACUAAUCACCUGGCCCCAAACUAAUAGCGCGGGCAGUGGGGAAACUGAAUCUUCUUACGCACUAGGAAAAGGGGAUAAAAGGGCUCAUCCCUGCCGUCCUCAUCAUAGAAUGUCCCACCUGGGACUGUUUGUGUCUCUGCUCCCCCUAUCCUCCCCCACCCCACAAAGGCUGAGAUUUCCUCGGUCUGAAUUAUGCACACGCACCCCAUUCUACCCUUGGUGCCGUGCACGGUGCCCUUCUCCAAUCCAAGGACCGUGAAGGUUUGAGAAGAAUCCACAUGGAUGGCCAAAGCGAGUGGCAAGCCAGGUCACCACGCAGUCCUCCCAAGAGGGCUCCAAGCUGAGAACCUGCAUUCCCAGUGGAGCUCUGACUUCUCUGAUGUUCUACGAGAGUGCGGUGACUCUCAGUCCAUCUGUCCAUCCAUCCCCUCCCUCUGUCUGCCAAGUCAUCAGAAAAUACCACACGCCUAUGGAAACUCCUGAACAUGCUCCAUCUGUCUGGUCUGUUUUCCAUUGUGUGUUUGUGCUGCUAUUUUUGUACAGUAAACAAGGCAAAAGCAAUGAAGUAAACAGUGGGAGGUUUAAAGGGUUUUCAACAAACGAAGGGUACCUAACUGCGCUCUGUUCUGAGAAUUUGAAUCCCUCAUUUACACUCAUACCUGAAAAACACAGCAUCUGGAUGGCAGCCAGUUUUCCAGGAUGAAUAAGCACGUCGAAAGGGACAAAUAUUUUUCACAGACUGAAGGUGAAAUAGAGACUCAAAUAUUUAAAAGUAAAUAAAUAAAAAGGAAGAAAAAAAGAAAAGAAAAAAAGAAAAACGGCGGAGACCAGAGAUCAAGAUGUCAAGGGCGGUCGUCGGAGGGCAUGACACCACGAGAGGCCGGGCAUCUCAGUUUACAUUGGGACUUUCAUCUCAAGUGUCCCUAUUUGGAUGAUAAAUUAUGUGGUCACUGGAAUUCUGAGUGACUCCUAUGCCCUUUGUUCUCAUCUAUGUUCUCUAAGCUUUCAGCAGUGAACAUAUCCCAUAAAGAGGAUAAAUAAUGAAAAAUAUUGUGUAAUAUUAUGUAAUAAUAAAUAGAAUAUAUAA